GGUUGUCAGAGACGGACCAGACCAGAACCCAGGUCCCAAAAACCUGCAGGAGGAGGGGGGCACAGUCAGACUGGUCUAAGGCUACCACUGAGAGAGCAGUGAUGUCACACUGUUCUGGAGUACACCUGCACAUCACCACAACCGGGGGGUUCGACUGAUCCUCGUACAAAUAUUUACUUUAAAGUCUCCAUAAGGUCAGAAUCAGUGUUCAGCACUACUUUAUAGCUACUUAUAGAGCUAAUAUGGUCUGUAGCUAGGUAAUUGUGAUGUUAUGAGUACACUAGGUCAAGAACUCCAUUACCCAGCAUGCCACAGUAGUAAGGAGCAUGUGCAGGAGCCCCGUCUGCCGGGUGUGGUAUGUAGCCAUACGGGUAGCACUGAACUGUUGUUAUGUGCAAGUUGUCAAGUAAAUAUGAAAGACCAGCUAUCACACCUCGUCUGCUUAUUAUAAGUUCAAGCAAGACAACACAGUAACGAGUUAGGUAAUCUACAUCAGUUGUUAGCUAGCUACUUACAUCUGAAAGCUAUUGUUAGCAAAAUGCUAGCUAACUAACAAUUGAUGUAAAUUAGCUAACUAAUUAGCUAGGAAUUUGCUAACAAUAGCUAGCUGUAACUAGCUAGCUAGUGACUGAUGUAGCUUAGUUAACAAGGUAACUAACAUUUUGCGUGAUAGCAAAACGCUAUGUAACUAGCUACCAAAUCUAUGUCAGAUUAUUAGUUUUCCCUCUGACGUCCUCCGACUGCUCAGCUUCAACUCUCUGAGUUACAGUUUCCUGAUGGACAGAUAGCUUUAGCUAAAGCAGCUAACUGCUAACUAACUGUAUCUUCCGUUAGCCAGUAACAGAACCGGGCUCAGCAGCCGGACCAGGUAGAACACAGCCUCCGAGCCCCUCAGGAGUUCUGGAUGUCUGGUCUCAGAACCAGGCUGAGCAGAAACACACUCACCUUGUCCAGGUCUUUUGGCGGCAGCGUUACGUUCAGACCGCCACAGUCUUCGGGGCCCGGCGCUGCUUUGGUGCCGAGCACCGCCAGCAGCAGCAGCAGCGUCGCUUGGUUCACAACAGUCAUCGUGCUCUGGGACAGAAA